GAAGAGUGUUGUACACAAAGAACUGCUAAUUCCUUUGCCCUGAAGUUAAACUCCUCAGACCCUUCA
rnacentral:tRNA from 1 species